UUUCCGUAGGUGAACCUGCGGAAGGAUCAUUAUUGUAUAACCGAGGUGCGAGGGCUGUCGCUGACCCGAAAGGUCGUGCACGCCCCAGUGCCCUCACACACAUCCAUCUCACCCCUAUGUGCACCACCGCGUGGGUCCCCCUUUGGCUUGUUCGGAGGGGGGCUUACGUUUUCACACAAACUUUGUAUGCAGUGUAGAAUGUAUUUUUUGUUUUUGCGAUCACGCAAUCAAUACAACUUUCAACAACGGAUCUCUUGGCUCUC
rnacentral:misc_RNA from 1 species